UUAUAAAGUAGUUAGUGAAAAAAAAAUAACAAAACUAUAAAUAGGUAACUUAAAAAAUAACAAAAACAAUGAUUACUCAUUUUUGACACUGUCAAGAAAGUCUUUACACAAAAUAUUUUCAUUUUUUAAAUUCAAAAUUCUUCGUAAUUAUUUAAUAUAUUUAACUUAUUUUAAUAUUUGGUCAUACUCAAAGGGAAUCUUUUGCCACUCUUCCAAUAUGAAUUCUUUGAGCUGAUUGCGGUUUUUGGGCUGUCUUUUUCCCACUUUCUUCUUCAAAUAGGCCCACAAAUUUUCAAUGGGGUUAAGAUCGGGACUCUGGGGUGGUGUAU